GAAUUAUGGUCAUCUGGGUCUAAAAGACAUCCACUUCUUUGUGUACUCACAGAAUGACAAAAUAACUUAUACCUGACCAAGAUGGCUGCCAUUUCCAGCACUUUCUAGAGUUAUGAAGGUUUAUGACAGGCCACUCUCUGUUUCUAGGUUAUUGUAUCUCCAUGUGUGUACUGAUUUGAUUGCUGGUUCUUCUUCACAGGUUGCCUAACAUUGGCAACACUUGCUUCCUAAAUGCCACCCUGCAGUGCCUCCUGGUCCUGCCUUCCUUCUCAAAGGAAAUCCUACGCCAGGAACAACUCUGGAACUCCUCCCCCUUCUCCAACCUGCUCAGUGGCGCAAACCAGGCCUCAAAAGCAGACCUCAUGUGGAAGGUCAAGUACUCCUUGUCGGGAUAUGAUUUGAAGUAUCUGGGGGACACGCAACAGGACGCACACGAGUUACUUGUGAAUAUGCUGUGCUGUGCCAGCUGAAGGAGGAGGGAAUGAUACUGAAGACACUCGGGGUGAACUAUACCUGCCCUGUUUCCCAGCUGGAGUUCCAGCUUGUCUCAGUGCGCACAUGUACCAGGGCGAAAAGGUUGAAUGAAUUCACAUGUGCGGGCUGCAAAGGCCUCUACAGCUCAAAAGUGGAGCAGUUCCACACACUGCCUCUUGUGCUGGUUCUGCACCUGAAGAGGUUCGGAGGACCUGGGG